ACAGGUGUGUAUAGCUUGCCAAUUAAGGGGCUUUAUAAGCCUGUUGCAAACCAUGCCCAGGUGCUUGAUCAUUAAGCGUCACAGCCUGUUUCUACAGACCAGAGAUUUCCUGCUUUUGUUCCUGAUUCCUGCUUUGUUCCUGAGUCUCCGUCCGGUUCCCUGUUCCUGUGUGCCUGUGUUCUCUGCUCCAGUUUCCCAUUACCUGCUCUCUGUUGGAUCUCCUGGUAAUUGACCUCCGCUUGCUUACUGGACUACCCUCUGCCAUCAGCCUGCCCCCGACCUCAGCCUGUUUCUUGGACUUGCCUUUAUUGUUACCUGCACUUGACCACCGGCCUGGUGUCUCUCAGGGCAACAAAUCAACAGCUUCCCUAUGAUGUUUGUUCAUUGGCAUAUCAGGUUAACUUUUGACUGCACAUUUAAAGCUGAGAAACCUGUAUCUAAUUCCUCAACGUAUAGCUCAUAAAACCAAUUCCAGCCAUGCGAUCGGUUUUGGACAUGUUUUAUUAUUUAGAUUUUGCAAGCAAAACGGAUUUCAUACAAAAGUAGUCUGAUACCUAUCAUCCACUCAAGCGAAAGAAAACCUCACUUAUGCACAUAAUGCGAUUAUUUGGACACAACUAAAGUUCUAUUGGGCAGAAUCUCACAGGCGUUAAGAAAAAUGAGUCUUGCACGUGAUUAAAUACCGACCUGUGAGAUCCCCAACAUAAAACUGCGCAAAAUAAAUGCAGUGUGCAUAAAUAUAUAUUCAAGUGAAUAAAGAUUUAGUGUUUGUAUUUUCA